GCAGCGGAGCGUGUGGUUAAUUUCGAUGCUACACGAAGAACCUUACCAAGGUUUGACAUGCAAGUGGUAGUGAUCUGAAAAGUGAACGACCCUUCGGGGAGCUUGCACAGGUGCUGCAUGGCUGUCGUCAGCUCGUGUCGUGAGAUGUUCGGUUAAGUCCGCUAACGAGCGCAACCCUCACUGUGUGUUACAUGUGUCACACGGGGACUGCCGGUUUUAAGCCGGAGGAAGGCGGGGAUGACGUCAAGUCAGCAUGGCCUUUAUAUCUUGGGCUACACACACGCUACAAUGGUCUGUACAAUGGGUAGCCAAGCCGCGAGGCGGAGCCAAUCCUGAAAGCAGGCCUCAGUUCAGAUUGCAGUCUACAACUCGACUGCAUGAAGCCGGAGUUGCUAGUAACCGCAGGUCAGCAAUACUGCGGUGAAUACGUUCCCGGGUCUU
rnacentral:rRNA from 1 species